AGCCACUGUUGUGUUCCUAUCAGAGAGAAACCACACAGACACAACUUAGCGAGUGAAAAGACAGAGACACUUUCUUGAUUACGCCCCAGAACGACACAGGGGUUGAACACUCACUUCUGGAUUGAAAGAAAAGAGGCAUAAGGGUUGUACUGUUUUACCCUCCAGUGUUCCAUGGAGGUUAAUUACUAUUUGGGGUAUUUGGUUGCUGAUUUUGGCCGCCCCGAGCACUGAAACUCGACCUGUUGGACUUUCACCGGGAGGAUGGAAGAUGAAGGCUGCUUUCCACGGUUUAUUAGAACCUGACUCAUAGACUAGAUUGUGCUCUCAUGUGCUCGAGUCACGGUCAAUAACCUCACAUUGAAAUCCUGAGUGAAUUCAAAUCAAAGAGUGGAUGAUUUCAUCGUUUCAAAGGCGGAUGAAGUAAGCUGAGGACAUUUGUGCACCAUCUGCAAUACAAGCUUAUUUUCAAAUCACCUUUGAUAACCUGCAAACUGACCAGCGUCAGAGAAGGCAAAGCAUGAAGGUGCUGAGUGGUCCACUGGUCGAUCUGACCCUACUGCUCAGACAAACAGUCGGCCAGACAGACGGCUCUAUGCCCUUCGCUUUUCUAGGCCUUGUGCUGUUUGUAUCUGUCUGCCUGCUACUGUGUCAAUUGAUAGUCUACAUUUGGUGGAAACUAGGACAAGUGGACGAGCUGUCGGUGUUUCCGCAGGACAGGGGCGCCAUCUUCAGGCCACUUCACGACACUGCGUCGGCCAAGCGGAGGAGCGUCUGGUCGCAAUACAGCUACACAGCACAACAAGACUCCAACUAACGAAACGAAUGGCUUCACUUAUCGUUUUCAGAAGUUCAUUGCUGUGAUGUUGUAGGUAGCGGGACUAUAGUCGGCUUCGGAGCUGUGGCACAGCAGAAUGGCAAAUACAUGUUACAGGACUGGAAAGCACCUUUGGGAAGCAAGUGUCAAUGUUUUAAUAUUAAAUUAAAUAAACCCCAUCAACAAUUCAACCUCCUACCUCUAGCUUCUUACAUCCCAGUCACCAUUUUAUGAUUAAAUGGCGAUAAUAUUGUGUUAGCCACUGUUCCGUUGUUAUUAGGUGUUCGAUUAAAAUUAAAAUUAUGUAGAAGAAAACAUUAAAAAAAAUGGAUUUAGCCAUUUUUAUAACACUAAAAAGGGGCCUUAUUGGCGGAAAGAAGAAUAACGGAAUGAGGUGUUGUGAAAAACAAAUGGAUGAAAACCCUUUCUUCAGAGUAUAACAAUCCUUUAUUUAAACAGUGUUACACAAGACAGGGGUGGCUGUGAAGGGAUGUGCACGACACAUUUUAAUAUCAAGCUGCUCAUAAGUGAAACUAUUGGUGGUCAUUGGUUGGCUAAGAGAGAAUCGAGGGCGGGGCUCUUCUAAGGAAGCUCCAGUGCCUGAUGGCCCACAACUGGGCACACUGUUAACUGAUGGAGGGGUUUGCUCUUCCAAAAUAAUGUACUUAUGCAGUUAUACAGGUCGAGUUAAAACAUGGUUAAAAAGUGAUACACCAAUCUUACUUGUGUAAUUCAACAAAUUAACUGUACCCAUGCGUUCAUUACAUUUAGCGGGUACCUGAAACAUUUGAAAAAAGUUUUCUAUCCUGGUUGCUUUUGUUCUUGAAGCCAGAAAUAAAUAAGCCUACAGAGAAAUAAGACAAUGUUCGAGGUGGUAAUGAGCGUUUCCGUGGUAAGACGAUAAUCGGUUGCUCAAGAUGGACUAGGGGGCGAAUCUAUCAUUUAGUCCAAGGUUCUUUUUACGGCUUUUGGUUAAAACAAAACAAAUAUCAAUUAAGUGGUAUCUCCAACACUAAAAGAUCCAUUGUGUUCAAAUGAGUACAUAUAUCUAGGAAGACCAACCUCCAGGGAACAGGGAUCCUGAGCUCUGGGUCCAGAUACAGCACCAACGCCCCUGGGAAUCCAGUCAAACUGAGCUAUGCUCCUGGAAGAGGACUCCAAUGAUGUGAAUCAUAUUUGUGUGUUUCUUUUCUUUAAACCUUCCACACACACACACGCAGAAGAAAGAAAAUGAAAUCACUCUAAAAUAUAUAAAGAGAUAUCAAAGAGAGUAUACCGAGGGCCAAGUGUCAGACGCAACAGGUUCACAGAGAAAAGACAUUCAAUUAAAAUGGAGGAAAAAAAAAUACAAAAAGAUGAUUACAUUGAAGUUGAAUCAUUUUUUUAGUAAGCGAUGCUUUUGGAAAUGGUUUUGUUGUUGAGAGGGUCGACCAGGUGACCCACCCUCUGGAAUGUCAUAUAACAGCAUAGUAGUAUUCAGACCGGCGUCUCCCAAUAGAGUACCAUGUUGGCUUCAUUGAAUUAUCUCGAUAGUUAAAAAGAGUACGGUGGUCAAUAGAAGCUGGCUAAAUGUAUCGCCUCAAAUAAAAAAUACAAUACAAAAAAAAAAAAUGAAAUGGAAAACCAAAACAUUUGGAUAAGUCACACCAAAUCCGUUCACUUCUCUGCAUAACAUUUUGCUUGGCAACAGAGACUAAAGUUCUGCAACAGAUGCAAAGCUUGUUUACAUCCACCACACUAGAUUCAUGUUCGUCCACGUAAACACCAGAAUAUAGAUGUUGACAGAGGUCUUAUUGGGGCUGAAAAGAACAAGGUCAAACAGUCCUGGGCAAUCGUUCUUAUAAUCAGAUCUUUUUACAGUUGUUUUGUAUUGCGGUGCCUUGCUGGAACACAGCACUUGCACCAGAACCGGUCAAAAAGGCUACAAAAUAUGGGAGGUGAAUGCGAUUGUAAUUCUCACAACUUUCUCCCUCAAUCCUCCAGACUGCACAUCAAACAUCACAUCUCAGGUCUAGCCCAGAUGGGAGCUCUACACAUCCCGACACGUGUUCACUUAGUCUUCCAGUUAGUCUCUCUCAUCAGUACAGCCAGUUUCUCGCAUCUCCACGGCCAAACAUGCGCUUCAAAGAUCCUUCUGAGCUUUUGGUUUUAACUUUUAUAGAUUAUAGUGAGGGCCAAUAGCGCACCACACCAGGCGCCUCGUUGUCGAGAUACAGUACAACACACACAAGGAAAAAUAAUUUUGUCAAGUCCAGAUACGUUUGCUGUUGCAAUAUUUUGGUCCCGUCGCAUGUUGUAAUAUGCAUAUUAUAAAAAAUGCCAGUUUUUCGUUUCACUACCGUACCUCAAAGCCUGUGUGUGUAUGACAACCCAGUAUUUAUCCAGGAUUCAGAACAGCUCAACUGCCCAUGUGCUGUGCAACCAAUCAAGCGGUACCUCAACGAUGACCCCGAACCAAUCGAUGAAACCGAACUAAUCGAUGAAGCCUAAUUAAUCGCUCAACAUGCCAGCUAUCUCUUCUCCCCGCGGCACAACAAAAACACGUUUGAACCGAACAAUUACUACAAGAACCGAAGGAGCCCAAGUUCGUGUUGCGAUCGAGAACCACAUCAACUGAAUGUUGUUGUGCUACUCCCAUUUAUCAAUAAUGACGGAUAAAUAUGUAUUAUUUACCGUGAAACCAACCUAACCAAUAUUUGACCUGCAGACGGAAAACGGGUUUUUAAAAAAAAGUGUCUCCCUUAACUGUGUCAUGCACCAUUUGGAUUCCAAGGAUGAAUUUGUUUUGAAACCAAGUUUAGAUUGGCUGGUGUAUAACGGUCUUUAAAAUAAUUUCCAUAGUAAACAGGUUUUUAUAACAUCUCAAAUGGUAAUAAAAAACGAAGAUACAUUUAAAAACAAACUGGCUUUCAGCACAAGUCACCGACGUAGGAAUGUGGAUGACGUUACAGCAAAGAGGGGUAGUGGUGUUACUGUGAAUAUUUCAAUUACAGCUCCCUUUCUAUAGCGGCUGCUUAUGACUAAUGCAAACCAAAUGGACACCACCAUUCCCUCGACACAAAUGCCUGGCAAAAUGGAACAUGACGAAAACACUUGGAUCCUAGAUACAACGGGUCAAGACCGGUCUGCCAUUCCUCCUGCAGAAUUAGCCAUCUCCCCACGAAGACUAUUUCAAUCCAUGUUCCAUCCUAGCUCCACUGUAACGAGAGAUAGCCAGAGAUGGAAUAUGGGAGGGAUGUUUUGUAUUUGUUAAAUGUUUUUAAAUGAUGGGAAACGACUAAUACCAUGUGCUGAUAACAGCACGAUGCAAAUUGCUUUGGUGUAAUUAGUCUAAAAGUACAUUAGUCUGUGUGUAUUUGGUCCUGCGUAACCAGUUUAUGGGAUACUCCAGAUUACAGUACUGGUUGAAAUACUACCAUCACACCUCCUAUCAGACAUGGUAUCAGCUUCUCCAAGGAUUUAUGUUCUCUUUUGCGAAAGCAUACAAAUUGGAGAAAAAAAAAAGCACUAUUAAAACAAUUGGAAUAAAAACACGCUACAAAUGUUAUGCUAACAAAGUGGUUCUUUUUUUUCCUUCUGAAAG